rnacentral:rRNA from 1 species
UACGGAGGGUGCGAGCGUUAAUCGGAAUUACUGGGCGUAAAGGGUGCGUAGGUGGUUUGUUAAGUUAGUUUUGAAAUUCCUGGGCUUAACCUGGGCUGGAGGACUAAUACUGAUGAACUUGAGUAUAGGAGAGGGUAGUGGAAUUUCCGGUGUAGCGGUGAAAUGCGUAGAGAUCGGAAGGAACACCAGUGGCGAAGGCGGCUACCUGGCCAGAUACUGACACUGAGGCACGAAAGCGUGGGGAGCAAACAGG